rnacentral:tRNA from 2 species
GGAGGCGUGCCCGAGCUUGAGGGACUACAUUGAUGAAGUAAAUACGGAGAAACACCUCCCGCCCCCCA